UGAUUUACAGUUUUGAAAUUGUAGAGGGAGUUUUGUACAGACAUGGCAAUUUCUCUCAUUCGCGUGUUUAGUAAUGUCUAAUAAGAGUUUGGAAGAUAAACAAAUAAAACAUACAGAAAUUUCUCUAACAGAUAUUGAAAGGCUAUUAAAUGACGAAUUUUCAUGUAUAAAAUGUAUAAGAAAAGAGGUUCAUCUGUUUUUACUGCCUUCUUUCAUAGGUAAUGAAUUGAAUGGAGUCAAAGCUGUACUGGAUGAUUGGAAAAAUCGUUUCAAGAGAUUGUAAGCUUAUUUUGAUUUCUCAUUUCUUUUGCAGAAUAGUGUUUUACUUAAACUAUUAUUGGCAAAAUCCUAGUUAAGCUACAGCACGCGGAUCUAUGACGAUGCAAUCAAAUUUAGUUCUUACAAUUUUA
rnacentral:lncRNA from 1 species